UACAGAGGUCUCAAGCGUUGUUCGGAUUCAUUGGGCGUAAAGGGUGCGUAGGUGGCGCCGUAAGUCAGGUGUGAAAUUUCGGAGCUUAACUCCGAAACUGCAUUUGAUACUGCGGUGCUUGAGGACUGGAGAGGAGACUGGAAUUUACGGUGUAGCAGUGAAAUGCGUAGAGAUCGUAAGGAAGACCAGUGACGAAGGCGGGUCUCUGGACAGUUCCUGACACUGAGGCACGAAGGCCAGGGGAGCAAACGGG
rnacentral:rRNA from 1 species